AGACGGAGGUGGCGAGCGUUGUUCGGAAUCACUGGGCUUAAAGGGAGCGCAGGCGGUAUGCUAAGUCGCCGGUGGAAGUUCGGGGCUCAACCCCGAAAGGUCCGGCGAAACUGGCGUACUUGAGUUGUCCAGGGGAUGGCGGAAUUCCUGGUGUAGCGGUGAAAUGCGUAGAGAUCAGGAGGAAGGCCGGUGGCGAAGGCGGCCAUCUGGGGACAGACUGACGCUGAGGCUCGAAAGCGUGGGGAGCAAACAGGAGUAGAAACCCCAGUAGUCC
rnacentral:rRNA from 1 species